rnacentral:rRNA from 1 species
AUUGAACGCUGGCGGCAGGCCCAACACAUGCAAGUCGAGCGGAUGAAGGGAGCUUGCUCCUGGAUUCAGCGGCGGACGGGUGAGUAAUGCCUAGGAAUCUGCCUGGUAGUGGGGGAUAACGUCCGGAAACGGGCGCUAAUACCGCAUACGUCCUGAGGGAGAAAGUGGGGGAUCUUCGGACCUCACGCUAUCAGAUGAGCCUAGGUCGGAUUAGCUAGUUGGUGGGGUAAAGGCCUACCAAGGCGACGAUCCGUAACUGGUCUGAGAGGAUGAUCAGUCACACUGGAACUGAGACACGGUCCAGACUCCUACGGGAGGCAGCAGUGGGGAAUAUUGGACAAUGGGCGAAAGCCUGAUCCAGCCAUGCCGCGUGUGUGAAGAAGGUCUUCGGAUUGUAAAGCACUUUAAGUUGGGAGGAAGGGCAGUAAGUUAAUACCCUGCUGUUUUGACGUUACCAACAGAAUAAGCACCGGCUAACUUCGUG